GGGAAUAUUGCACAAUGGAGGAAACUCUGAUGCAGCGAUGCCGUGUGAGGGAAGAAGGUUUUAGGAUUGUAAACCUCUGUCUUCAGGGACGAAAAAAGACGGUACCUGAGGAGGAAGCUCCGGCUAACUACGUGCCAGCAGCCGCGGUAAUACGUAGGGAGCGAGCGUUGUCCGGAAUUACUGGGUGUAAAGGGAGCGUAGGCGGGAUCGCAAGUCAGAUGUGAAAACUAUGGGCUUAACCCAUAAACUGCAUUUGAAACUGUGGUUCUUGAGUGAAGUAGAGGUAAGCGGAAUUCCUAGUGUAGCGGUGAAAUGCGUAGAUAUUAGGAGGAACAUCAGUGGCGAAGGCGGCUUACUGGGCUUUAACUGACGCUGAGGCUCGAAAGCGUGGGGAGCAAACAGGAUUAGAUACCCUGGUAGUCCACGCCGUAAACGAUGAUUACUAGGUGUGGGGGGACUGACCCCUUCCGUGCCGCAGCAAACGCAAUAAGUAAUCCACCUGGGGAGUACGACCGCAAGGUUGAAACUCAAAGGAAUUGACGGGGGCCCGCACAAG
rnacentral:rRNA from 1 species